ensembl:lncRNA
GUCCAUUACCUCAGCAGUACCAGUCCACUACCUCAGCAGUACCAGUACCAGUCCACUACCUCAGCAGUACCAGUCCAUUACCUCACCAGUACCAGUCAUUACCUCAGCAGUACCAGUACCAGUCCAUUACAUCAGCACUACCAGUACCAGUCCAUUACCUCAGCAGUACCAGUCCAUUACCUCAGCAGUACCAGUACCAGUUUAUUACCUCAGCAGUACCAGUCCAUUACCUCAGCAGUACCAGUCCAUUACCUCAGCAGUACCAGUACCAGUCCAUUACCUCAGCAGUACCAGUCCAUUACAUCAGCAGUACCAGUACGAGUCCAUUACCUCAGCAGUACCAGUACCAGUCCAUUACCUCAGCAGAACCACUAACUGCUCUGUCAUGAAUACUUUCUGUUCAUUGACCUGGCUACCCUUCAUUAUUCAUGGCAGAGCAGAUGACAAAGGCUGCUUAAUGACACACACACACACACACACACACACACACACACACACAGGACAGGCAGACACACAGGACAGGCAGACACACACACAGGACAGGCAGACACACACACACACACAGGACAGGCAGACACACAGACACAGGACAGGCAGACACACACACAGGACAGGCAGACACACACACAGGACAGGCAGACACACACACACACACACACACACACACACACACACACACACAGGACAGGCAGACACACACAUACACACACACAGGACAGGCAGACACACACACACACACAGGACAGGCACAGGCAGACACACACACACACACAGGACAGGCAGACACACACAGGACAGGCAGACACACACACACACACGACAGGCAGACACACACACACACACACACACACAGGACAGGACAGGCAGACACACACACACAGGACAGGCAGACACACACAGGACAGGCAGACACACACACACAGGACAGGCAGACACACACACAGGACAGGCAGACACACACACACAGGACAGGCAGACACACACACACACACACAGGACAGGCAGACACACACACACACAGGACAGGCAGACCAACACACACACAGGACAGGCAGACCAACACACACAGGACAGGCAGACACACACACACACACAGGACAGGCAGACACACACACACACACAGGACAGGCAGACACACACAGGACAGGCAAACACUCACACACAGGACAGGCAAACACACACACACACACACACACACACACAGGACAGGCAGACACACACACAGGACAGGCAGACAGGCAUGCCUAACUAGGUGAGAGAAGACCAGGGCAGAUUUUAAGAAGAGGUGACUGGAGGACAGAGACAGAAGGUGUCAUUGUCUCAUCACCACCUCAGGUAACACAAUAAGCCUUUUCUAGCCGUGUGUGUGUCUUAGUGUUAGCGUGUGUGUGUGUGUAUCUUAGUGUUAGCGUGUGUGUGUGUGUGUCAGUGUGUGUGUGUCUUAGUGUCAGCGUGUGUGUGUGUGUCUUAGUGUCAGCGUGUGUGUGUGUAUCUUAGUGUCAGUGUGUGUGAACUGGUGGGUGGAAAGGUGAGGGACUGAGGCAGUAAUCCUGUCACAGGAGACGUAACACCCA